rnacentral:rRNA from 1 species
UACGAAAGGGGCUAGCGUUGCUCGGAAUCACUGGGCGUAAAGCGCACGUAGGCGGCUUUUUAAGUCAGGGGUGAAAUCCUGGAGCUCAACUCCAGAACUGCCUUUGAUACUGAAAGUCUUGAGUAUGGGAGAGGUGAGUGGAACUGCGAGUGUAGAGGUGAAAUUCGUAGAUAUUCGCAAGAACACCAGUGGCGAAGGCGGCUCACUGGCCCAUAACUGACGCUGAGGCACGAAAGCGUGGGGAGCAAACAGG